UGGGGGAUCGUCUAACGGGUAAGACGGCUACCUGUCAAGUAGACAAUCCGGGUUCGAAUCUCGGUCCCCCAG
rnacentral:tRNA from 1 species